GCCAAUUUUGAAUCCAAUUAGCUAACUCUCCCUGGAUCCCAUGCGACCUAACCUUCAUGACUGGCCUGCUGUGCAGGACCUUGUCAAAUACCUUACCUAAGUCCAGAUAGACAAAAUCCACUGUACUACCCUCAUCUAUCCUCUUAGUUACCUCUUCGAAAAACUUUAAAAGAUUUGUCAGACAUGACAUCCCAUUCUCAAAUCCAUGCUGACUAUCCAAUUGUUGGUACUUAGUGGUAUAUUUCCCUGUCAUGUCUUCAGCCAUCUUAGUUGCUAUUCUGUUCUUGCCCUGUUUUGUAUGGCAAGUUCCAAGAAGCCUGGGAUACUCAAGUGAGUAUCUUGAUUGCAAUUUUACAGUCUGCAGUUAAAUUAGGAAAUUAGUGGGUUGGGGCCAGCUUCCCAACAUUGCCAAUUUGCUAUUUUUAACCUCCCUCACCCCCAUGUCAAUUCCUAUACCCGCACACUUUUCAACAUUCAAUUCAGCCCAUAGACACAAACAUCAUGGAAAGAAGCCAUUUGGUCCAUCAUGCUUCUGCCAGCGACUUCUAACUCAAUUUCUUGGUGAUUUUGAUGACCAUGGGAUCACAAAGUACCCAGUCCCUGAUCAUACUGAGAAAACUGAGCUCUGUACAAACAAGAGAAUAUUUAUCAGCCAGUGCCACCAAAUAUUUCAUUCUCUCGUCACAGACUCCAGCCCUCUUCCUGAAGUCUCAGUGGGGGCAAUACAGCUUGAGGAAGCAGGGAGUUCUGAAGGUAGAAACGCGUGAAGGGAGAGGUGCUAGCAAGCAUUAGGAACCAGGCGAGAGGGCCGAGAAUGGUGAAGGUUGGAAAUAGGUGGCUUUCGGAACAGAAUAGACAAAGAACCAGCUGGAAUUGGUUGGGCCAUGUUACAGGAUUGCAGAGACAACCUAAAGUGGGAAUCACCAUAACCUACAGAACUGAAAAACAAAUACAAUAGCAAUCUUCAGGAGAACUGUUUAGUUGAUGAAGAUAUGCUUCACUUUGCAGAAGGACUCCAAAACAACUCAAGCUUGAAGGUUCUCAAGCUGUCUAAUAAUAGGAUCAGCAGAAAAGGGAUGGAGUUUUUUGUCAAUGCUCUCAAGUACAAUAUUACUAUUGUGUCUAUAUGGUUAGGAGGAAAUCUUGUGACUGCAGAGGAAACCGAAGAAAUGACCAGAGUGGAAAGAAGAUUGAUAUUUUGAUCAAGAACUGAAAAGGGGAACUUGUAAACUUUUGAUACUUCCCUCACAUUAAAAAAAUCCCUGUCCUGCUCGGUUUUGUGCAAUGUAUUUAUAGUGAAAGGAAUCUGUAUUGGUGUGAGUUGUAUUUGUAAAUGAUUCUUUUUUAAAAAGUGAUUUUUAUUUAAUCUA